UUACUUGAGCAGCAGAUACACUAAAACUGGAAUGAUACAGAGAAGAUUAGCAUGGCCCCUGUGCAAGGAUGACAUACAAAUUCAUGAAGCAUUCCAUAUUUUU
rnacentral:snRNA from 1 species